AUUAAAACACUGGUUCCUGUAAGAUCACUGAAAUUAAGCAACAUUGAGCCUGGUCAGUACCUAGAUGGGUAACUGCUUGGGAAUACUAUGUACUGUAC